rnacentral:rRNA from 1 species
UACAGAGGGUGCGAGCGUUGUUCGGAAUUAUUGGGCGUAAAGGGCGCGUAGGCGGCUUGGUAAGUCAAAGGUGAAAUCCCUCGGCUCAACUGAGGAAUUGCCUUUGAAACUGCCUGGCUCGAGGCCGGGAGGGGGUAGCGGAAUUCCCAGUGUAGCGGUGAAAUGCGUAGAUAUUGGGAGGAACACCGGUGGCGAAGGCGGCUACCUGGACCGGUUCUGACGCUGAUGCGCGAAAGCGUGGGGAGCAAACAGG